UCACACUGAGUAGCAUUUGCUCCUAUAUGUCACAGAAUCCCCAACUUUUAGGACUGAAAAGAAAACUGAAGUCCUUUAAGCCCUCUCAUCUCCCCAGCCAUUUGAUUAUGACAUUUCUAUUUGGUCUCUGACUCUGCUUGGGUACCUCCUGGGAUGGCGAACACUGCUCUGGGGAAUCCCUGCCUUCUUUGGGUUACUCUAUAGAUGUCAAUUAGCUCUGUUUACAGGUGUGAUGUAUUUAAACUGCUUUCCAGUUGCAGGGAACAGGAAGCUGUCCCCUAUUCAACUACAAUAAUGUAGGCUGCCAGAGAACAGGACACAAAUGAUCAUUUGGAAGAUAAUUCAGCAAAUAACUCAAUGACAUACUCACAGAUGAAGGAUUCAGGCUCUAGACUCUCUGCCUACCCAGUUCCUGGGAGGGGCGGGGUCCAGUCCAGCUGAAGAUAAGGUCCUGAGAAUGAGGCAGAACCCAGUUAAUUCAGACACGUUUUACAGACAAGGCCUCAAAAAUCCCGAAGGAACUUUUUUUUUUUUUUUUUACAUCUUUAUUGGAGUAUAAUUGCUUUACAAUGGUCCAAAGGAACCUUUGAAGUCACCCUUCUCCUGAGUUCACAGGACUCACAAACAAUACCAUCCAUCCCUGGUUAUUCAUGCUCAUUAAACGUCAGAAUAAAGAGCUUAGAGCUCAGGAGGGGCUCCAUCCCCAUUACUCCGGGGCCGCUUAGCUGCAUUUAUGAUGAGAAGGCCCUGGGGUGUCUAACUACCCGAUUUGCUUAAUAAAGUCCUCCCGGUCCUGCUGAUGUUACCAGCUUCAUGUCGCACAUUCUUGUGCUAUUGGGGUGGUGCCAGAAUGUAUUUAAAUAUCCCAUUGUGUCUAUUUCAUUUUUAUUUAAAGGAAAUGAAUUUCAAGGUUUAAAGCAGAUUUUCUAAUGCAAAUGCACCUAUGCAGCUAGGUGUGAGGAGCCAGAGGUAAGGGAAGGGUUACAGUAUAGGAACUGUAGGAGGCAUUCAAGGCUCAUCUAGCUGGAGGUCCUGUUCUCCUGUGAACUGUGGCUUGUGAGACGGUGGAUUCUCAUUGUUAGCAAGUACAUAUUUGUAUAAACCUGAAUUUUCAUUUAGUGCUUAAUAGAUUUAAUUUUACCUUAAUGAUAUAUUUUAUUUCUUUUUUUUGGUAUAAAUUUACUUAUUUAUUUUUGGCUGUGUUGGGUCUUUGUUGCUGUGUGCGGGCUUUCUCUAGUUGGGAUGAGCGGGGGCUACUCUUCGUUGCGGUGCGUGGGCUUCUCAUUGUGGUGGCUUCUCUUGUUGCGGUGGCUUCUCUUGUUGCGGAGUACGGGCUCUAGGCGUGUGGGCUUCAGUAGUUGUGGCUCGCAGGCUCCAGAGCACAGGCUCAGUAGUUGUGGUGCAUGGGCUUAGUUGCUCCGUGGCAUGUGGGAUCUUCCCGGACCAGGGCUCAAACCCAUGUCCCCUGCACUGGCAGGCGGAUUCUUAACCACUGCGCCACCAGGGAAGCCCCAAUGAUAUAUUUUAAAUGGACUCCUAGAAGGUUUGGAUUGGACCUUAGAACUUAAUUUGACCAAUCCCUCCUGUUACAGAUGAAAAAAUUGAGGCCCAGAGAGGUUAAAGUUUUUUCCCCAAAUCACACAGGUAGUAAUAAGUGUAGGGCUGGGAUUCAAGUCUAGAUUUUAAAAUUUCAGAUGGUAUUGGUUCAAAACUCACCCCACGUGCAGUGAGAUAAGCUUCUUUAGCAGUCUCUCUGGCAUAAAAGGGAAGUGUUAAUGUUUCCUCGUCCUCUAGCUCCGAGAUCCUGUUUAUUUGGAAUUAGCUUGGUGGAAGGAUCAACUUGCCUGCUCACAGCUGCUGUCCCUUCUCAUGCCACAUUGAAGAGGAACCACAACCCCCUCUCCUUGACCUCCCCUCACAUGCUGCACACACGGCAGCUACAUACGUACAGCAGACUUUAUAUGAAACUUGAGGAAACAGAGGUUUGUGUCACCAUGUUGCUCGUUUCCCCUUCUUUUUAGAGCACGCUUCUGUAGGAUUCAUCCCAGAAAUUCCCCCAUUUCAAAGCACAGAGUAACAUAGCUCAUCAAUUCCCUUUCACUCAGGACUACGUUUUGCUGCAACAGAGACCUGUAAAACAAUGCCUUAAAUAAGGUUUACAAUUUUUCUCUCAUGUAAGUCUGGAGGUAGGCAUUCUAGGGCUGGUAAGGUAGUGCCACAAUCUCAUCAAUGUCCUAACCUCCUCUCAUCUUUCCAUUUUGCCAUCCUUAGCACAAGCCUACUGUCCUCAAGCAAGAUCACCUCAGGACUGCAAAAUGACUGCUGCAGCACAAGUCAUUACAUCCAUGUUUCAGAUCUGGAGGUUGGAAGUCCAGGAUCAAGGAGUCAGUAGGUUUGGUUUCCACUGAAGCCUCUCUCUGGCUUACAAAGGGCUGCCUUCUCCCUGUUUCCUCAUGUUUCUGUCUCCUCUGCCUUCUCACUGUAUUCCCUCUUUCCUUCUGUUCCCUAAUCUUCUCUUUAAAGACCCCAGUCAGAUUAGAUUAGGACCCAUCCCAAUGGCCACAGUUUACCUGUUUCAAGGCCCUGUUUCCAAAUAUGGUCAUGGUCUGAGGUACUAGGGGUUAGGACUUCAAAACAUGAAUUUCAGCCCAUAGCAGUUGCACUGAUCUUAAUACACCUAGUUAUAUUCUCCAUGGGAGAAAGAAAACAAGGAUGAGGUCAGACACUCUCCUUCUACAGCCUGCUUUUCCCUUUUCACUCUUUUCCUCAGGCCUUCAAUCCAGAACGUCCUAGCUCACUGCUCCUAAACGAUGCUCUCACUAUAAAUUGCAUAGAAACAUAAGACAUCAAAACCUAGUUUUACGUUUCUUUGUGUAUAAGAAAUAGUAAGAGUCACUGAAGUCGGUGCUUGCAGUCUGAGACUUUUCUAAAAAGAGUUCAGUGCAUUAUUCAAGUUGAAAAAAUAAUAAUUUGGACCUUAGCCUGUCUCCAGCAGAUGGACGACGCUGCCCGUCCCCUGCCCUUUCUUAAGAAGUUCCCUUUAUUCUGUGAUACCCUAAAGUGUCUGCUGGCAUGGUGGUUUACAAGCACCUUCUCACGUGGUGAAUAAUUAGGUCCUAAUCACCACCCAGUGAAGUAGAGAAAUAAUUUGAAUCCCUGUUGUACAGAUGAGAUAACUGGAGCAUAAAGAAUGUGGGAUUUUCAAGGUCACACAGCAAGAAAGGCACAAAGCCAGCUUCCAUUUCUCAGUCUAGGUAAUAUGAAUUCCACAGUUCCAUGUUGCCUUCUCUCCCCAAAGUGGCGGUCCAUCCACCAAGUUUUUGUUUCAAUUGGGGUGCAGUGGUGCUAGUCAUUGGGAGGGGGAACAACUGAAAACACUAUGAUGACUCAGGGCAGUCAAUAAGAAAAUGGACUUUCUCGGUGAGGCAGAGAUGGGGAAGUAGUCAUCUCUUUCUUCUGAUAGCAGGGCGUACGUUUUGUUUUUCAAUCGGCAUGCUCACUGGAUCCUUCUUAUUACCCUUUGCUUUUCAUGCUUUUAAAGCUUACCCACAAGCAUUUUUUUCAUUCCAUCUGUAUUUAGUAGUUGUUGUUCUACUACAAAGAAGACUUUCCUCUCUUCUCCAUCUAUUUGUGUACUCAUUUAUUAAUUUAUAUCACUAUAGUCUCACGGUUUCUUAUUUUAUUCAGUGAGUUUUUGUUUUAUUCCACGGGUUUCGAUGACCAGACUGUGCUUGUUCAGUGGGAACCCCUUCAUUCUGGCUCCUGGGUCCUCUUGACAUGUUCCCAUAAGUCCAUGAGCCUAUCCUUACUUGGCACAAAAAGGUGUUCCACAUUCUUCUCAUAUUUUCACUGCCCCAGCCUUAAACUCACUGUAUUUUGAGAACUGGUGGAUACCACCCAGUGUUAAAAGUAGAAGUCUUGAACCACUGUAGGAGCCAGAGGAGACAGUGAUUUCUCCUCAAAUUAUGACCCUUCUUGACCUUCAGAUGAAAGGAUUAAGAGGAUGAUUGCCCCCAUGUGCUUGUAAUUCAUCCCAAGGAUAAACAAAUCUACUGUCUUAAGUUUCUCAUGAUUUCCAUUUCAUGGAAGAGAAUUUCAAACUGAGCCUCAGAGACACUAGGCGGGAAAUGGGAAUUCAAAUCUGUGGGAUAGGGUAACGGGAGAUCAAUACGGAACGGACUGCCGCCCUUACUAACAGUGACCCUGACCCACACAAGCCUGUGUGUGGGAGGAGCUUGGGCUCCUCCCAAGGAGCCUGCAGAGCCGGCGGCGAGCAGGAAGCCUCAGAGUACAGAGGACCAUGUCACUCUUAACUCCCAGAUGGUGAAAGGUAAGCCUCUGUCCUGGGGACACCGGAGUGGGCGGGGUGUCCUUUCUACACUCACAGGUGCAGCCAGAGCUGACUCUAAGAUAAGACAGGUUUGAUCAUGGCUCGUUUUCCUUUCCAUUAAAAAUAAUUUCAAUUAGGAAAGACUUUAAACUUACAGAAAGUUACAGAUAAAAAUGUCAUAAGCACCAAUGUACCCAUCACCAGACGGAGGAAAUGUUAACAUUAGCCUUAGAUCCUUUUAGAAAGAAAAUAAAGCUACAGAUAAAAUUGAAACCCAAUUGCCCUCCCUCUCUCUCCAGAGACAACUCUCAAGUUAGUACGCAGCUUCUCGGUGCUCAAUAUUACUUUGUUUUCACGUGGGUAAACACCAAUAUAUAGUAUUGCCUUGUGUACUUAAAACAUUUCAUAAGCAGUAUUGUUACCCACGCUAUGCAGCCAAGGCUCCAGGCGCGGAAACUGUUUUCUUUUUUUCAAUCAUACAGGUUAGUUGUUUAUCAACAGGAAGCCACGAAGGCCAGAAACGAAACCAGACUGAACCAGCUAGGUCCAAGAUGGCGGGCAAAGUAGGCUAAAGUACCUGGUGUUUGGUAGAGAUGCUUCGCGGGCUGUACUUUGAGAGAUACACAGUGGUCAACCAUCCCAAACCAGCUCUGACGACCACGGGAACACACCUGCGCAGAUGAAACCAGGGGGCUGUCCCAGCAUUACCUUCGCUUCAUUACCUUGCUAACAUCUCCGCCCAAAGCGGGGAUUUGUGCUCUCCUAGGCACAAUUUGUUCCACGUGCAAAGGAGCGUGGCGGACUGCGCAUGACCUGGCUGCCCCUGGAAAUCUCCGCCCCUUUCCUAGAGCCCUGAUGACCUUCUCCCUCCUAACCCUAAAAUUCCCUUACUCCCCUCUUUGGGGAGAAGGUGCUUCUAGAGUUUGAGCUUCCCUUCUCCAUUCUCUGGCCUUUGGGUAAAAGCCUGUUUUGCUUGCACCAAACUCAAUUUCAUUAUUGGGAGCUCGAAACUGAGUGGGAAAGAACUCCCUGUCUGAUAGGGGUUGGGGGAAGGGAGAGCUUAGGUUCAGCUAGGGCACCAAGAGUGGGGGGUCUCACGUCUAAUUCAGUAACAUUACCAUACUGCUUGUAUCCGUUUUCAACUGGCUUUUUUUUUUUUCCGGUACGUGGGCUUCUCACUGUUGUGGCCUCUCCCGUUGCGGAGCACAGGCUCCAGACACGCAGGCUCAGCGGCCAUGGCUCACGGGCCUAGCCGCUCCGCGGCAUGUGGGAUCUUCCCGGACCGGGACACGAACCCGUGUCCCCUGUAUCGGCAGGCGGACUCUCAACCACUGCGCCACCAGGGAAGUCCUCAACUGGCUUUUGAUUUUCACCUAACAGUGAGAUUUAUUGAUAUUAAUAAUGUAGAUCUAGUUCAUUCAUUUUAUCUGAUAGUAUUUUGUUGUAUGACAUUUUUAUAAUGAUAUAUGAUAUUACUCUUAAUAGUCCUAAUGCUUUGUAUAUUGUAUUUUCUUUGAAGAUAAUAAACUCACCUGGAAUAAUGA